rnacentral:tRNA from 1 species
GCGAAGCGGGCGGCGGAGGAGCCGCAUCGGCGCGACGCGCGCGGAGAUGAGGGGGGAAUUGCAUCGGUCACGGCUCGGUGCCGUGCGCCCGGCA